UACAGAGGUGGCAAGCGUUGUUCGGAUUUACUGGGCGUAAAGGGUGCGUAGGUUGUUUCGUGUGUCGGACGUGAAAUGCCACGGCUUAACUGUGGAAUUGCAUUCGAAACUGCGAAGCUAGAGUGCGGGAGAGGAGAGCGGAAUUCUUGGUGUAGCGGUGAAAUGCGUUGAUAUCAAGAAGAACACCGGUAGCGAAGGCGGCUCUCUGGAACGCAACUGACGCUGAGGCACGAAAGCUGGGGGAG
rnacentral:rRNA from 1 species